CGGUGGGCGUCCGCGUCUCCUUCACUCUGGGGCCAGGCGGCAACGGCAACGACGGCGGCAGCUCGCGGUCUCUUUCUCUCCCCCUGAGAGCGUCAAAAAGUUCUUCCCUGUUGCUUCGCCGGCGGCUUUUAACCGCGCCCCCUACCUGCCUCCCGCCCUCCUUCCCUUGACGUGCCGGGACAAGAGGAGGAGGAGGCGAGGCCUCGUCCUCAGGGAGGCGGGAAAAGGGCGCGAGGGAAGGCGAAGGAGAAGUAGAGAGAGGAGCGAGAGGAGCCUCUCUCAGGGUCGAGAGGCGACGCCGAGUGGAGGGAGCCGGGCGAGGCCUCCCUCAGCCCCGGCGCCCUUCAGGUGUUCCUGGACGGCGGUUCCCGUCACCCCCGACCGCGAUGGUGCAUGGCGGGCACCCGGUUGGGGAAGUCAGCGCUCUCGACACACACACACACCUUUUUUUUGUUUUUGUUUUUGCUGGGGCAAAAUCGGCUAUUUAAUGGUAGAACCUCCAACUACAUACCAAAAGCAUCCAAACUACAGCAGCGGGUAGAGUUAGGACAUUUUAUUAGAGCCACCUGAACGUCCCAAGAGGGCUUCAACCGAGUUCAGGUAAUAAAUGCAGGUGUGGUGGAAAACUACACGCAGAGCUGGUCUGACCAUGCAUGAAUUAGCUAUAUUUGUAUAUCACUUUCCAGGAUACAAUGCUCUGGGGAACUUCUGCCCCUUCCCAGCCAGAGUUGAGCACAUUUGAAUCCCACAGAUUUCAGCAGGAGAGAUCAUAAUAAUCUUGUUUUUAAUUAUCCAUGUGGUGCUUUUAUAUUGUAUUUUUAUGCUGUGAACCACCCUGAGAUCUACAGAUGAAGGGCGGAACACAAAUUAUAAUAAUAUAAUAUUAUAAUAUAAUAUAAUAUAAUAUAAUAAAUAUAAUAGUUGGAAGGAACCAUGAGGAUUAUCUAUUCCAAUCCCAUACAGUGCCAGAAUACGUAGCUGUCCAAUACAGGGAUCAAACUUGCAACCUUUGCAUUUAUCAGCACCAUGUUCUAACCGACAGAUCUAUCCAGAUCUGACCCAAGUCUAUGCACAACUCCAUCCCAUAGCAAGACAUGCUUAAUUUGGUGGGAACAGGAUUAAUUAUUAAUUAAUUUGCUUAAUUAAUUUCAGACAUUUGAUUGGCUAUUGAAAAUACCUCUUGAAAACUUUGCAAAUCAUGUCACCACUAGACAGGCACGAACUUUGAAGAAAGGGUGUGCAAGAUCAAGUGUUGGGAUAGUGGAAAGAGUGCUUGUGUCAUACAUAACACUCCUUUUCUGCAAGGAUUAGGAAGGAGAGGCAGGGCAUUCUGGAAGCACUUGUGAAAGCUGGCUCUCCAAGUUCAUAUUUCUUCAUUCAUGCGGGGGAAAGUGCUGUCUCCUCUCACAAAUUGUGGAGCAAUUAUUAUGCCUCAUAAUAAAAUGGAUGAAAUCUGACAUGCUCCCCAAUUCCAAACAGGGCUAUUCUGUGCCAAAGUUAUUAAGUGCAAGGAUACGGAGAGGGCUACCUUGAAAGCAGAUAAUCUGCUGAAUGGUGGUUUAAGUUGAAACACAUCUGCAUCAGGCAAUAAGAUAUGCUGUUGCUAUUGCUAACACAUGCCAAAAAACCAUUUGAAGAUAAGCUAAGUUUUCUGUGAAUCUACCUCACAGGAAUAACUAAUGUGAUUUUAAAUAUAAUUGAUAUCCAUAUCUUCGUGAGAUUUUUGAAACGAAUACAGCUUGCUUGAAAUAAAUGCAGCUAACUUCAGGUAGUAAGCAUUCAGCCUAUUGGUUAAAAAGAGAGUUGAACACCUCUCCAUUCUUUGCUAUCAUUGAUAUUGCACAGAUGCAAAGGAGAAGUAACUUUAUUGAUUUAAAUAUUUAUUAAAUUUCUAUACUGCCCUUCAUCCGAAGAUCACAGGGCUGUUCGCAACAUCAAAAUAUAAGACAAGAAGACAAAAUACAUAAGAAAAACAAAACAAACACAUCUGUACACCAUUUAUUUUCUAAAUCACCUAGUUUGCCUUUUGAGUGACUCGAAAAACAAUCGAUCUUGUAUAUGACAUCAAAGUUUGAUUUGUUGCUGAAACACUGUAUAUUUUGAUAAAUAGAAGAUACAACUGCUUGAUCCUUGGAUCUUAGAGCACUUGCAGACUCACUAUUUUUGAGUGGGAUUCAAUCAAUCAGGUUGGCAACAAGAUUAGAUUUGUUACAAUAAGGAAAGAGAUAGGAAAAUGCACUGGAAAGUGUGGGGAAACACAUACUUUUAACGCAAUGUCAUCGAACCUCCCCACAAACAAAUCAGAAUGAAUUCUCAUUAAAUAGCAAACAGCAUCCAAUUUCCCUCUAAACAAAUCAGAAUGAGUGCUCAAUAAACAUGUUGGCAGGGACCACAUUUAAUGCUGCAGUCAGCAUGUUUCACAGAUAACUCUUCAAACUCAACUUUAUCACCUGAAGUCAGCAAGCAUUCCCCCCUCCCCAAGUAUAUUUUUGUUUCAAGGUUAGUUUAUCCAGUUUUCAGAUCUCACAACUGAAUUGCUUAGGAAAUAUUUUGUUUGUUAGAAAUAAAUUACUAUCUGUUUGGCUUUAAAAUUCUGGCUUUCCUGUAUGCUAUAUCAUUCAAUGAAUAACUGAUAUAUAUUUCUCAACGUGGGAUAGCUCUGUUAUCCCAGGUUGGGAUAGAUUAAGAGCAUGAGAUUGCCAGGGGUUGGACUAGAUGAUCCUCACGGUCCCUUCCAACUCUACAAUCCUUUGAUUCUAUGAUUCUCUCCCUUUAGGCAUCUCCAUUUAUCUUAUGCUGUCCACCUGUACACAGCUUGGUUUAGUAUUUCAGCUUGUCAAACAACAGCGAAUGAGCAACACCCGUAUUGUUCCUCUGACUCUGGAAAAGGUACAUGUGUUUUUACUUGUUAAAAUUAUUGGCAAAAGCAGAUAGCCAAAUGAACCAAACUAGAUGGUUCCUUUUUCCUAGCUACUUUCAGACAAGACUUUUGCAAGUGAUAAAAGCACUGAAUCAGCAUACAUAGACCUCUCAAUGCGAAGAACUGUUCAGACUCUCAUGCUGCUUGUUGCACUGCUGAUCUAUACAUAAUAGCAGGUUCAGCACAGCAACUAUGCAAAACCACAAAUUGCAAACUGAUGCCUCUUGAUUGAGGUAUGUUUCAUCACCAACACAUGCACUUUUUUUCACUUACUCCUGCUGUUUCUGGAGGAACAACUGUUUUGAAUAACUCCUACAGAACUAAUGGACUAAACCAGGCAUAGGCAAACUCGGCCCUCCAGAUGCUUUGGGACUACAACUCCCAUCAUCCCUGACCACUGGUCAUGUUAGCUAGGGAUGAUGGGAGUUGUAGUCCCAAAACAUCUGGAAGGCUGAGUUUGCCUAUGCCUGGAAUAAACAAUUUAGUUUUUUGCAUAUCUCAGAAACUCUCAAGAAUUAUUAGAAUCUUUUAGUUAGCUGAAAAUGCUAUCUGCCUAUAUCUGUGCACCCAGUAAAAGCAUGCAAUGCUUUCUGUAAAGUUUUCUCUUUCUGUAGAGAUUUCCUAAACCUCCAGUGCCAAGGUAUAUACAUAUGCCGCAAGGGAUGCCAUAUUUUAAAAUUUUGGUCUGAAUUUUGUGGUCAGGUAAUUUUAAGCAUAGUUUAACAAACUUUACAUUGAUUGACUGAUAUGUAGAUGCCAGAGAGAGGGGUGAAGGAACUGUUUUACGAAACUAGGAAUGGUUAUAUAUUCAGAUGUAUUGCUUUACUUUAUAUGUGAAUGGGGAACCUAUGGCCCUCCAUAUGUUGUUAGACUACAGUUCCCAUCAGCCCUGAACGCUGGUCAUGCUGAGUAGGGUUUAUGGGAGUUGGGAGUCCAUAUUUGGAGGACAAAGCUUUCCCAUUCCUGCUUUAAAUGCAUCACCAGUAGACUUUUAAUUUGCCUUUAAAUAUCAAUAAGGAACAAGUAUCUGCUUCAGUAAAUGUGAUAUUAUUUCAUUCUUAAUGGCCAACGGCAGCCAUGUAAUGGGAAUAUGUGUCUAGUUUAAUAUUCAUUUGCUGUUCGUGGAUGGCUAUGGGAUCAAUCUCAAUCUCAUGAGAUCAAUAAACCAGCUUGCUUGAGAAUUAGAUGUCAUUCGUUAGCUACAAAUAGUUUUUGUGUUUUUUUAAUGAUGAAGCUUUAAAUUACAACUCAGAGUUCCUCCUAUUUACUUCUUUCUGGAAGAGGUCAGCAUUCUAGACUAAGUCACACUAGUAGCUGUAAUGUCAAACAUGCCCACUUGAUGUUUGCCUCCAAAGGUCAUUCUUGAAAUAAGUUACAAGAAGAUAAAUCUUCUUGUAAAUAAGAACACUUACUAAAAUCUUGUAUUAGUUUGAUAAGAGAUAAAUUCCAGUUGAUUAAUGUGGAAUGCAGAGCAUCUGGUGUUAAUUCUUAUUUUUAUAAUAGUAUUAUAGCAUAUUGCAAGGGUACAAGUGGGACCUGCAACAAAUGGUUGCAGUGCAUUACUCAGCCUAAAAUGAGAGUUCCUGUUCAGUGUUCAAGCUGCCCAUCCCUUCCAAGCAGGAUAUUCCACUUCUCCCUAUUCCAUUUUCCUUUUCCAACUGUCAUGCUGCAUUCCAUGACUACUGAACCCCUAAGGGAAUUUUACUACUGUAGUGUUGUUGUUUUUUAAGAGUCUUUGUAUUUCUGAAAACCCAGAGUUCCCCUAAGCAUGCUGAUUUUCCUCUUGUUUUCCAAUGGCCUUGCUGCCAGUGUUCCAAUUUAAGCUCUAUUAUGAGAGCACAAUAUUUCAACACAGUUAGCCUUUGAUGUACAUGGCAAGACACACACUUGCUAAAGCAGGAAAAGAAAAACUCACUUGAGCCCUAAAAUUACACCCACAGAGUCAUUUCCUUUUCUGCAUAAUUACCACAUGACAAUAUGAAGUGUCACAGAGGUCUCCUGUAGGUUAUUCGUUAGCUAUUCUAGCUCAGGCAGUAGGAUCCUUAAGUUUUAAGAUCUAUAUUAGAAGGAACAAGGGUGUCCAAACAGAGCAGUGGUGUGUUUGGGGUUGCUUCAUUGAAGUGAAAACCUGAGGUGGAAGAGUCCACAUGUAAGGUGAAAUAGAAUGUUGCCCAUGUGGCAGUAACUCAGUGACUUAAGAUUUCAUCUGUUAUGGUCAAUUCAUAUUUUUCUUUUUUAUUUAGUGAAAUGUUUAGACCACUAAACAUCAAAAUAUCCAAGCAGUUUACAUUGUGCAUUGCAAUAAUCCAGUCUUGAGGUAUGAAAUGCAUGAAUCACUAUAGCUAAAUUAUCCCAGUCUGGGAUCAGUUGUAGCUGAUGUACCAGCUGAAGCUGGCAGAUGACACGCUUAGCCACUGUGGUCACUUCCAGUGACAAAAAUUAAUAUAAGAGCAUGCCCCAGGCUGCAAACCUUUUCCUUCAGAGGAAAUGUGACCCCACCCAGAAGUGGUAAAUCUUCUAGAUUCCUUGUGGUGUAUUCAGUUCUUACAUUGCUGUGAACAGCAGCAGCAGCUAUCAUCAUCACCACCACCACCCAGUCUUCACCAGCAGAUCCCAGGAUGGGUUACAACAAUUUAAAAACAGGUAAAACUGAGGAUAACUGAGAGUUUUGUGUGUACCAUCUUAUGUGACAGAGCUUCAGAGGUCAUUUUGUAUCAGUUUGGCCAGAGCCCCCUAAAAUGCUCAGGGUGGGUGAAAAGCUGUCUGAUAAAAGUUUAUUUAUUUAAAGAAGCUCCUUGCAGGGUCAUCUGAGAUGUCAAAGCAGGCAUAAUGGCACAGCAGCCUACAGGAGCCUGAACAAUUUUUCUGCAGGCUUCUGCUUGGAAACAAGAAAAACCAGUUGCUCAUAACUUGAUUCUCUGAGAAGGGUUGUGCAUCAGGCCAAAAGGGAUGAGUGUGGUUCCAUAGCGGAAUGACCUGUUUGAAGCUGAAAACAUUUUAUUCCCUUUGCAUGCCUGCUUGCUCAUCUUUGUGAAAGUCAUGUAUACUUCUAUGGACAAUUCACAUAGAACUGGAACCAACAAAACCAAUGACUGCAACCAGUGAUAACUGCUGAGUGUUAUAUACUGAUUCCUGUUGAAUCCAGAAAGAAUCCUCAGCCAGCUGCACUGGGCUUCCUUCAUAAUUAUACCAUUCUAUACCAUCCUGUCUGAUCCUCCCAUCCCAUAUGAUUCUAGCUUGUGACUCUGGAUAACAUUUGUCUUCCCAAUCCUGAGCUAGGGAUGAGAAAGGAAAUGUUUUGGUUUAUUUUCAGAUAUAUUUGCAUCUGCAUGCUGGUUAUUAAGGUACACAAAAUGGCUUAACAUCCUUGCUCCUCCUCCCACUUUAAUAAGCUCAUAGCUUCUCUUAAGUCUCUCAAGUGUCCUGACUGCAACUAUCACCCAUGAAUGAAUGGAAAGUUUUAUGGGAGAGAUAAGGCUGCAGCUGAGCAUUAUAAACGAAGCUGUCAGUUGUAGCAUUAGUCCAGAACUUGGAAUAUCCCAGCUGAUUUAUCUUAUGUAUCUUUCAAUCCAUCCCUUUGUUCUCCAGUUUACAUAGCAACCCAGUGUGGCUGGGGGAGGGAAAAUUUGAGACACAGAAAGCACCAAAUCCAGAGCUAUAUAGAGGUCACACGCUGGGUGGGUUUCCAUGACUUUUAAAAAAGCCCCUCCUAUUGGUUCCAUUAGGGUAGGGUGGGGAGAUACUAAUGCUAGCUCCAGGAACAAUGUACUUCUUCCCACUACACCUCGCCCCCAUUCUGGGGGCACAUCAGGGAAAUAGGAGGACAAUUUUCUGUCAUGCCUCUCCUUGGCCCCCUUGUUUUCAGAGCAAGAUGUCCUUUAUGUGGCAUCUAGGAGAGGGAGUUCUGCAAAAUCCUGUGAUCCUGAAUCACUCUCCCAGGAUCCAUAGGAUUGUGCUUAUUGGUUUAAUUUCUGUCGGUUAAAUUAAACCAGUUUGCUUCUAGUUGCCUCUAAUACCCACUAACUGUCAGUUUAAUACACUGCUCCUUGUCAGAUAUUUUGUUAUGAGUCAUUGUUGUAUUUCUGUACAAAAACCAGGCCUGAAUCCCAACUGCAAGGAAAAUCUUAAAUUACACACUUGACAUUUAUAUACAUAUUUUUUUAUUGCUGUUUGUAUUGUUAGUGGUAUCUAAGAACAAUAUCAUAAUAAACGAUAUUUAUUAACGCUUCCUUUAAAUUUCAUUCGUGCUUCCAGUAACUUCCAAAAUGCUUCAUCAGUGCAAUCAUCUCCUAACUAUAGACUACCAUACAUUCACCCGAUUUCAUUAUUUGCUCUCUUUUUUCCAUUCAUAUGCUGUUAUCUUCCCUUUUGCCAUCAGCUGCACUAUGGUUUUUUCUGUUGUUAUCUAAGGAAAGAAAAUAAAUUCUCAAAUAGCCCAUCCAACACUACCCUUUAUGAAUACUAUUUAUUAAUGAAUACAUUGAGUCAGAUGGACAAGUAAUAUUUGUUCACAUGUUGCAGUGCAAAUUAGCUACAGUGGUACCUUGUGUUACAUACGCUUCAGGUUACAGACUCCGCUAACCCAGAAAUAGUACCUCGGGUUAAGAACUUUGCUUCAGGAUGAGAACAGAAAUCGUGCUCCGGCGGCGCAGCAGCAGUAGGAGGCCCCAUUAGCUAAAGUGAUGCUUCAGGUUAAGAACAGUUUCAGGUUAAGAACGGACCUCUGGAAUGAAUUAAGUACUUAACCCGAGGUACCACUGUACUUGCCAAUUGGCAUCUCUCUGUAGUGGGUUUUUAUUUUAUUUUUUUUUGUUCCUUUUUCGAGUUAGUGCUACUGUAAGCUGCUAUCCUGAAACAACAUUUCUUACACUUUCUUAUGCUUUACCAAGUUUGUUUCUUGUUACCUAGUGGCCAUUGGAGACGUUUCCAUUGCUGAGCAAAGCUAAAUACUAAUAUCAUUGCAUUGAUGCCAGUUGAUGUAACUGGUCAUUACCCACUUUUAACACCCAGUCUCUUUCCUGUAUAUAGUAUGGAUUAGCAAGAACUUCCCAGUUCUGUAACCUGUGGUUAUUCAUACCUACACUAUGUGAUUAUUCAUUACUGUUUAUUCAUGUCUAUGUUGUUGCUUCAUAAUGGAGAUUAUGUUAUUUCCAAAUUGUUAUUUCAAUGUUACUUUUUUUAAAAAAUAAAUAAAUCACAUUCGCUAACUUUCUUCAAAACAUUAGAAAUCAUUUCCUAUCAAUAUAGACCAGUAGCAUGUCUUGCUUUAAUUUAACUUCUAUGUGAGAGGUGGCUAACCUUCUUUGGCUGAGGGCUGCAUUGCCAAACAGCCACCCCAUCAAGGGUCACAUGCCAGUGGUUGUCAUGGCCAGUGUAUGCACAUAUGUGUGCAUACAGACCAUGCACACAUACAUUCACCACAUAUGCAUUCACACAGCACUUUCUCUCUAUUCCCCCCCCAUAAACACACCACACAUAGUACUAGGUUGAAUACAACCUAUGUGUGUGACUAAGAAGAACGUUCCAUCAGUGGAAGCAUGACUGCUUGCCCAAUGGAAUGACCCCACCACACUGUUCUGGGGAUUCUUCCAACCUUUUAGAGCAGAUUAGGGAGGAUGUCCCAUUGCAUUAGAGGGAAUCCUUGCACUGGCUUCUCUUAGUGCGCGGAAUUCCUUUAAUAUGACUCAUACACUCAGAUAUGCCUGCAGACACACACAACCAGAAUUUGCAGCCCUCAACUAAAGUGUUCCACAAAUGACAAAGCCUCCUUGGAUCUGACAUCUCAUAAGUUGAUCUCCUCUAUAGCUUCGGUCAGAGGAGCUACCAGAAGUGCUGCAGGCUGCCUCAUGCUGUACAAUAGGUGAGAUAGUAGUAGUAGGAUUGCACUUGUUUACACUACUAGCCAUGCCAGCAGCCUCAGAACCAGGGAGAAGGGGAAAUGUUCAGUUGUGUAUUCACUGCUUCUGCCUGCAACAGUGAAGGUGCACUUGGGUUGGGUGGAGGAGAAAUGAAAUGGUCAGUGCUGCUGCUUGCAGGUGCAGCACCCCUUGCAUGUACCUUAUCCCUGGGGGCAGCUGCCAGUAUGAUGUACAUACCUCAUGAUGACCAAACAUAAUAGUGGUAAUAAUAGGGAUAGGAUGUGGUGAUGACGAUGGUAACAUGAUGAAAAUGAUUGUUAAAUAUAUAUGGUGUGAUGCUUUGCUGCCUAUAACAGUGAAUGUUUGUUGACACACAAUGGCACUCAGGCAGGCACUAAGAAAGUAAGAAUUUAAUAAUACUAGUAAUAAUAAGAGUACUAAAUAAGGCAGACUGUGCUUGGCUUCCAAUACAAAAUUACCCUAUUUUUCGCUCUAUAAGACGCACCAGACCACAAGACGCAGCUAGUUUUUGGAGGAGGAAAACAAGAAAAAAAAUAUUCUGAACCUCAGAAGCCAGAACAGUAAGAGGGAUCACUGCGCAGUGAAAGCAGCAAUCCCUCUUUCUGUUCUGGCUUCUGUGAUAGCUGCGCAGCCUGCAUUCGCUCCAUAAGACGCACACACAUUUCCCCUUACUUUUUAGGAGGGAAAAAGUGAGUCUUAUAGAGCAAAAAAUACGGUACUUAGGUUUGAUGAAGGGAUGUGUUGGGUAACAGCCACAACACAUACAGAAAGAGGCACUAAGAAAUAACUAGUUGAAUAAUAAGAACCACUUUAUAAUUACUUGUAUAAAAUAAUUAAAAAGUCACCAGGACUACACACAUAUAGUGAACUAAAAGCAAACUAUUUUGCUAAAGAAAAGAGACGAUCCAUUGACUUGCCUAGUAAUAAGAAUAAGCAAGCAAUCAGCAACCCUUACACUCAAAUUCAGUCACAAAGGAACUCCCUCCUUCUCCUCACACUGGUGUUCCCAUUAUAUGAAAAAAAUAAUCACACUUUUGUCAGACAUAAUGCAGCAUAUAUAUUUUUUAAAGACCGAGUCCAUAAGGUCCUUAGGAUGGGAUCCCUACUUUAACCCAGGGCAUCUCGUGCAGAUCCCACAUGGAGAACCCCCAAAUCCCUCUGAGGCAACCUGCCCCAGUUCAAGAUUCAUUUGAAUCCAAAGCAUAUGUCUAGCUCCUGAAAUCUUUAUAUUCUUUGCAAGACUAGACAUGACUAGGUGUUUGAUUGUCAAGUUGCUAAAUCACAAUUCAUACCUCUUUCAAGAUAAGAUCCCUUUGAACAAUUCUUUCCAACAUCACUGCAAUAGAUCUGCUAGUGCGGGCAGCUCCUAAAUGUUGAAUAUUUCCUGAUUUAGGCAAUUAACUUGAAAUAAGAAAGCAAAAUACAAAGUGUAUCUUAUUUAUAUGUUCAUUCAGUGGUAUCUGUUUAUCUUAUAUGUUCUAUUUCAUAGAAGAAACCUUUGGUAAUUUUUUGCACAUAAAGAAUCCUGUUUAAAAUUGUCACAGCCAUAGGAGCCAACUGCUAGGGGCCAGAGGGGCUUCACUGCCCCAAUACAUUAUUUGAGGGGGCAGUGCCAUUCAAAUGGUAUGCGUGCACUGCAUCAUGUGAUUUAUUAUGGCAGACGGGGCUUACCUGCCGCUCCUAUAUUUUAUUCAAGUUCACAGCCAUCUUGUUCCAUCUCAAAGAGGAGUGGCAGGACAGGCAAGCCCAAUAAUACGAGUGAAGUCUAGUGAUAAAGUCCAGUCCAGUCAGCCAGGCAAAAGAUUGCUUGCUGGUCAAGACCCUGGAUAAUUCCCUUUGGGCACUGUUGGCUAGAGAGCUGUUGCCUCAACAGUAUACUGAGGUCUUGUGAAGAUUGGUUGGCUAGAUAUUUCCUAUUACCCUUCCCCACCCCUUUGUUGAGGAGCUGCCUAUUCCUUUAAAACACAGUUACCCUGCUCUCUAACCAGGGUUAGACCAAGGAUAUAUUGCUGCAUCAACAGCCUAUAAAGCACUGCCAACUCCAUCUUAACAUGGGGCUGCAAUCUUGUUUGCACUCAUCAACUGAUUUUACUAUUAAAAUCGUUCAGCCUGGACACUGAGAUCCAGCACCAAGAGCAUUCUGGUGGUUCCCACACUGUGAGAAGUGAAGCUAAGGGAACUAGGCAGAUGGCCUUCUUGGUAGUGGCACCCUCCCUGUGGAAUACCCUCCCUUCAAAUGUCAAGCAGAUGCGUAAUUACAUAACAUUUAGGAAACACCUGAAGGCAGCCCUGAAGGAAGCUUUUUAAGGUUUAAUGCUUUAUUAUGUUUUUAUAUAUGCUGGAAGCUGCCCAGAGUGGCUGGGGCAACCCAGUCAGAUGGGUGUGGUACAAAUCAUCAACAACAACAACAAAACAACAAUAUGGGAAUUUAGAGGCAUGCUUCUUCUGAACUGGGGUGGGACAAACAGGGAGGGCUGUUUACCUACAUAUCCCAAUAACUUGGAGCAUUUGGCUGGCCAUUGCAUCAGAAGUUUUGAUCCAGCAUUGCUAUCAUGCUAUGAUAUGUUAUGUAACUACAAUUUCAUGUUUAACAUGUUUUCAAUAUGAAAUUCUCCAAAUGCAUUUAAAUAAUUUUUUUUUAAUUGAAUGAAGGCCUUUUGAGGUCUUUGCUUGGAGAGCAGUUUUAUUUUAUUGCAACUGAAGGGUUUCCUUUUCUUGGCAAUUUAUGUCUCCCUGGUUAAAUAUUACUAGAUAAGUAAAUGUUUCCAUUUUCAGAUUUGCUUCAUAGUAUACUUUUGUACUCAAGAUCCGUGUACUUUAGGGAUCACAGAACCUUGGGACUCCAAAAAAAAACCCCCAGCACACAAUAAAGUGUAACCUUAGUUGGACAGACUGAUGUUAACCAACUUUUCUAUUCUAAAUACAAGAAAGAGACUAGGCAAACAAUCAGAGGACUUGAUAGCUGCAGUCUUCAGUCUUUUCAGAUCCAGGAACCAUCUUUAACCCAAACAUUCCUUAAUUUUUUACCAUUUAUUUGUACAAUGGUAGUACUGCUGUUGCAAUUCACCAGUUCAAAAUGAAUGGUUUAGAGUAUGAUAAUGUUCACACAGAAUUUAACCAAACUCUAAACUCCACAGAUCUUUCCAAAUACUAAACUUUUUGUAUGUUCAACUCUUAGCUUUCAGAAUUUGACUUGUAUUUCAGUUAUAACGUACUCACAUGGAUAAUUUAUUACAUUUCUGGAACUUUAUCUCAGAAAUCCAGACUAAUCUCAGGUAUUAUAAGGGGCCUUUGGGAAUUGUACUUUAUGUCUGCAAAGUGUUAUUAUAAGCCACAAUAAGAUUAGGCUUGGAAUAGUGAAAACACAUGAGAAUAUAACAUCCUCAUAUUGAUAUUGUUGCAUGCCACCCCGAUCUCUGAGUGGUGUGAGACCUCAGGGGUUCCAGGCUCUUACCCAAGGUUUUGGGUAAGAGUUGCCUUUGGAAUGAGGCACAGCGGAGACUGUGGUGUCUUUAUGAUAUAUGGUUUAUUUACACAUAUACACAACCUGAGGCUAUGAUGGAGGGGUUCACAGGGUCUUGCUUCCCUCAAAACCACAGCCUUGGAUUCAAACAGAAAUCAAACAUCACUCUGACUCUCUGGCUUCCCAGCCUGUUGCUUCCAGCUUUUAUCUCACCUCACUCAACUCUCCACUCUAGUGUUUGUCUUUCUAACUACCAGCCAGUUUAGGGAGGGGGCCCACCCAUUUGUCCUCUAGUGCUGAGCCACUCCCUUUGGUUCUUAAGGGCCCAUAACCUAGGCUAUCAUCCCACCAGAACUGAAAUCCUUGCUUACAUUUAAAGACUUGCUGGAUCCAUAUGAUAAAGAACAAAUACAUGUUCUUGUUUCAAGAUAGAUAUCUGUCUUAGGAUGUACUUCCAACAGUAUUUUCAAACACAAGGGCUUCCAGUUGGGGCAUUAUGCCCUAUUCCCCCUCCUGGCCUUCUACGUGCCUUUUAUUUUCAUUAGGUAUAAAAUUAGAUUUUAAAUACCAGGGUGGAAGAAAAAGAGAUCUGUCUCUUGUAAUGUGUGUAACCUUUGCCCUUCUUUCCUUCUUGAACCCUGCCUGCUUCAUCCUUGUGUUAUGUCUUGUCAAAUCCAGUUUGUGUAGCUUUCAGAUGGGAUUACAUUCAGUUUACCUCUUCCUUCCUUAUAGAAAUACUUUGAGAAUUGCAAGGAUUUCUUUACAACAAGAUAUAAUUGUCAAUCAAUGAAAUAAAGAUAUAAAAGAUACACAACAACAGAAGAAUAAAUAAGGAAAAUUUCAAACCAAAAGGAUACUUAAGAAAAAGUUUCAAAAACCAUUAUAGUUUUCCACCUAGUCAUAUAAAAUUGAAGAUUAUAUCACUGCUAGAAACUAUGUUUCUACACGACAAGUCUUAAACCUACACUCACGCACAACAUUUUAAGUAUAAAUAAAAUAUCUUCCAGUUAAUAUGACUGUUAAUAUUCUUGCAGCUGUUGCUGUAAGUAGCCGCUUUGUUCUGUAUACUUCAUACAGUAUCACUUACUGUAGAUAAACAUAAGCCACAGCAGCAAAUAUCUUGGAUAAAAGUAUAUUUAGUAUUAACAGUUCAUUCGUCUUGGGAAGCAUGAAAAUCAUAUUGAAUGAAAAUACUCUAUAAUAAAAUUAUGGUGGACAUAAUCCAGUCAAAAAAGCUUUUAAAAUUAUUUAGUGGUACACAAAUGUUUACUGGCUUUGCUUGGAUCAUGUUUGUUAUGUGUGACAUAUAUACAUAUUUCUCUCUAUACAGCAAAUAUUAUAAAGUCUAUAGAAUCCUUAUGAUUCAAUAACCUACAUGGAUGUCACUUCAGUAUUGGAAAUUAACAUACAAGCUGGAACUAUUUUGUUGCAUAUACAGGUAGUAGAAAGCAGCAGCCGGCUGUAGCUUCCCUAUGUUUGCAGACUCAGCAAGUAAGCAUUUAUACUCAUCACAUCUGAAAGAGUUCCUAGAGUCUGGACUCAGAAGUGAAGAAAGAUAUAGCAUUCUUUCCAUCAGAGACAUCCAAGCACAAGACAUGCUAAAUGACAAGAAAGCUAACAAUGGCACUCUCUUCAGUUCUUUCUUACAUGAAUGACUGGCCUAUGAAAAUAAGUUCUAUCAUCCAUCUGAUAGUCAUAAGGGAAGGGGACAUGGCUGCAUUACUGAGCAGAGCAGAAGUCUGGCAACCUGGGUGGGGAUAUUUCUGAGAUGUCAACACCUUGCAUAAUCCUCAUGGCUUUAAUUCUGUGUAAUGGAGUUGGGAUAGAUUUUGAACGUUUCACAUGCUUCCGUAGAAGUUUAGUGUGAAGCUCAGAAUCUGCUUUCAGUAAAGCUGUGGCUUAAGAAUUGUAAUGUUAAUGUAAACUCUUUUGGAGCAGUUGUUAAGGAGCCAUUAGAAGUACUGUUUAGGCUUUUCAUGACUAAUCUCCUAAAUGCUGCUGAAGAUUAUGUAUCCUCCUUAGUAAAUGAUAUAUAUAUGACACAAAACUUUUAAGAAACAACUGUCAGAUUAGUUGGCUUUAGUAUGCUAUCAAGCCCUUGAGGGGAAAAGGCUGCAAAGGCUCUACAAAGCUAUAAACUACACAGUAUACUGAGGGUUGCUUUUUCUGUCUCUUUAAAGAGCUUCAGAUCCCUAACAGAGCCCCAAUGUGCAGGUAUUUUCUCUCAAUCAGUGCUUCUUACCACAGCAAGGGAGGAAGUUGUGAAUAUGAAACAGCAGCUUAGUUUUCAAAGAAGAGUUCAAUCUCUAUAUCUGUUAAUUAUGCACCUCUGUUUUAUGUAGUGUGCCAUCUGCUGACUGAAAAGAUAAUAGUUUAGUUUCCUACUGCCUCUACUACUGCUGUCAUUAAUUAGAAGCAUGUAAAGAUAUUCUGGGACAAGAAGCUACACUUAGAACUGGAUAUGGAACAACUGAUUGGUUCAAAAUUGGGAAAGGAGUACGGCAAGGCUGUAUAUUGUCUCCCUGCUUAUUCAACUUAUAUGCAGAAUUCAUCAUGCGAAAGGCUGGGCUGGAAGAUCACUGGAAGAAAUAUCAACAACCUCAGAUAUGCAGAUGACACAACCUUGAUGGCAGAAAGUGAGGAAGAAUUAAAGAACCUUUUAAUGAGGGUGAAAGAGGAGAGUGCAAAAUAUGGUCUGAAGCUCAACAUCAAAAAAACGAAGAUCAUGGCCACUGGUCCCAUCACCUCCUGGCAAAUAGAAGGGGAAGAAAUGGAGGCAGUGAGAGAUUUUACUUUCUUGGGCUCCCUGAUCACUGCAGAUGGUGACAGCAGUCACGAAAUUAAAAGACGCCUUCUCCUUGGGAGAAAGGCGAUGGCAAACCUAGACAGCAUCUUAAAAAGCAGAGACAUCACCUUGCCAACAAAGGUCCGUAUAGUUAAAGCCAUGGUUUUCCCAGUAGUGAUGUAUGGAAGUGAGAGCUGGACCAUAAAGAAGGCUGAUCGCCGAAGAAUUGAUGCUUUUGAAUUAUGGUGCUGGAGGAGACUCCUGAGAGUCCCAUGGACUUCAAGAAGAUCAAACGCAUCCAUUCUUAAGGAAAUUAGCCCUGGGUGCUCACUGGAAGGACAGAUCGUGAAGCUGAGGCUCCAAUACUUUGGCCACCUCAUGAGAAGAGAAGACUCCUGGAAAAGACCCUGAUGUUGGGAAAGAUGGAGGGCACAAGGAGAAGGGGACGACAGAGGACGAGAUGGUUAGACAGUGUUCUCGAAGCUACAAACAUGAGUCUGACCAGACUGCGGGAGGCAGUGGAAGACAGGAGUGCCUGGCGUGCUCUGGUCCAUGGGGUCACGAAGAGUCGGACACGACUAAACGACUAAACAACAACAAAAGAUAUUCUGAGUACUGUUCCCCUGCCAAACUGACCCACAAUCUUACCUCGCUCUUUCUACUUUAAACUAUGAAUUAUAUUUAUAUAAUUCAAACAAGGAUUAACUACAUCUUUUUAUCUAUCUUUUUUUAAAAGCUGGUUUGGAAUAAGCCAGUAAUCAGCUUCAGCUUUGGGGCUUAUACAUAAUGGCCACUGAAUGUUCAAAAUUCAGUCGAGAAAGUCACAUUCCUUGAAACAGGUUGAGUAUUAUGCAUAUUGACAAGAAAAUGUAGUUGAGAUAUUUAUUUUUCUUAUUUGGAGAACAUGCAUAAGAAAAAAUGAUAUUUAUUUUUCACUAAUAUAUGUAUUUGUAUGCACACUUAUCCAUUUUGUAUACUUUUUUAUUGAAAUGCACUGCAAAAAUUUUAGAGAAGGUUUUGAAGAUAGUUACAUUUCAGUUCACACACUGUAUUGUUAUAGGAAGUGCUAUUUAGGUAUGUUCACAUUAAAAUGUGAACUGAACCAAAUUUCUUCCCCAUUCCUACUGGAGUUAAGUCUCAUUGACUUUAAUUUCUUAGAAUCAUAGCAUUAUAGAGUGGGAAGGGGUCCCAAGGAUCAUCUAGUCCAACCCUUUGAAAUGAAGACAUCUCAACUAAAGCAUCCAUAACUGAUGGCCAUCCAACCUCUGCUUAAGACCCCCCAAGGAAGAAGAGUCCACCACCUCCUGAGGGAGCUCCACUGUCAAACAGCUCUUCCUGAUGUUUAGCCGGAAUCUCCUUUCUUGUAACUGCUUUGUCCUAGUCAUGUAAUGAUUCCUCUCCCACACUGAUGGACCUGUUCAAAUAAAACAUCCCUCCCCCAGAUUCUAUCCAAAUUAAGGGAGGAUUGAGAGUGGAUCUUGGGUUUGCAGGUUUUUCUUUCCUGCUCCUCCCUUUCCCACACUUCAUCCGCCCAGGAAGAAGUUGCCAGGGAAAUGGGUGGAUCUUGCAAGUGGGAACUUUCAUUCACAGCACACCCUGUCCAGUUAGUAUUCCAACUCUAUUCCAACUCAUUAGAAUUCUAUGAUUUUGUGACUGAAACUCUGGGGAACUCUGUGAGUCAGUGAAAACAAUACUAAGCUAUAUGGACUAAUAGUCUUACUCUGUAUGAGGCAGCUUUUUAUCUUCCAAAAACUAUGGUGCCAGAGGAGGCUUUAAAUUGAGAACAGAACCAACAUGUGGACAGAAUGUAGUUCUUGAGCAAGGAAAUUCAGAAGUGAGAGCUAUUGUUCACCUCCAGGUGGUGCAUUGUUUUGCACUUUUCCUGUCAUUGUUUAUACACACAAACACACACUGAUUGAUUGUAAUAAAACCUCUAAAUGGUUUACUAAAAAUAUUAAAAUUAUCAGCAGUAAAAACAGUUAGUUGUGCUCUUUAGCUUACACAAACCAAGUAAGGUAAUAAAUAAACAUAACAGACCAAGAAAGGACCAGUUAUGUAUGUAUAGCCCCACAAACUCAGACAUCAAAUCAUUGACUGGAAAUAAAGGGACAGUUAAGUCCAGUCGCGAACGACUCUGGGGUUGCAGUGCUCAUCUCGGUUUACAGGCCGAGGAAGCCGGCAUUUGUCCGCUCCGCAGACAGUUUUACCGGGUCAUGUGGCCAGCAUGACUAAUCCGCUUCUGGUGCAAUGGAACACCGACAUCAGAGCAGUGCACAGAAAUGCUGUUUACCUGGAAAUCCUGACCAUCAUUUCACUGUACCAUAUUUAUUCUUACCAAGCUAAGGCAAACCUUAAAAAUAUUAUAGUUCUUCUGAAUAAUUAUUGCACAAAUAAAGUAGUGGAAUCUGAAAUCCAGUUUUAUUAAUGAAAUCAAAUAAGUUAUUUCACGGGGUUUUUUCCUAGUCUGCGUCUGCACUGGAUUUAAAGUAGUUUUAAUUGCUUUUAUAAAAAUGAAAUCUACUUACAUGCAUUUUACUGUUGCUAUUUUAUUGUUAAGUUGCUUUAAGAUUGUUCAUAGGAAGUGAUUCACAAAAUAGAAAUAAAUAAAAAUUAUAUCCCAUUCAGUCAUGCUUGCCAAUUCUAGAAUAUGAGUUUUAACUUACUGGCUUUUGAACUUAAACAUUACAUUUGGAAAAUACUCAGAACUGGUAAAAAUUAAUAGGAUUUAUAAUCCUGUCUUUAUAUUAACAUACUGUAUGUACGGUAAUAAUACUUAGCCAGAUAUAAAUUACAGUGGUACCUUGGUUUGCAACUGCUUUGGAUUAUAACCACAUCAAACCCAGAAGUGCGUGUUCCUUUUUUUAGAUUACAACCCAUUUUGGGGGGGAAGCCCCAUUGGUGAAAGCGCGCCUUGGGUUACAACCUGUUUUGGUUUACAACCGGACCUCUGGAACGGAUUAUGGUUGUAAACCAAGGUACCACUGUAUAUGCUUCUUUAUCUGGUUUUUAAUGUCCUUGCAAUUAUGUUCCUGUAAUAAAUGCGUAUUUUGGUUAAAUUAUUGAAGUUCUGUUCUGACUUGUUGUGUAGUCAUUGUCAUUGGGCUUAAAAUAUUAAAGCAGAACUUUCAGGGAGUAGGCUGGGAGAAGUUGGACAUCACUAUGUCAAAGGGGCAUACAGCCAUAGCAAAAUAAGACAAUACAAAAAUGUUGGGGACAAGCAACCAAGCAAAAUUCAAAGCGAUGUUGCUGGCGUAAUGACAUUUAAAACACCCUAAGACAAUAAUACAGAGAUUUGGUUGCCAGCGCCAAAAAACUAGUAUGCGGAUAUAAAUAAAGCAUAAAAUGGCCCCAAAAUAGGCUCAGCACAUUGAGUUAAAAAGGUAAUAAAAGAAUUAAACAGGUCCAGGACUAGGGCACACUACCCUGUCAGAGUAGCCCUGAGUUUCAGAGCCUGCACUGUGAAGAUUGCCACCCCACGUGAAAUUUGGGGAUUUGCGUCCACAAGAAGUGCUUUCAGACAGUCUUCCUUAGAUGCAAUGGAGGACGGGAUCAAGAGGAGGAGCUUGGGUCUUAUUGGAUCAUAAAUAGGGCAGUAGAAAAAGAAAUGUAUGAAGUCCUCUACUUCAUUCAUUGUGCAUGGACAUAGACGCUGAGUAAUAGGGGUCUUAGAGUAGGUCCCCUGCAGGAAGGCCGUGGGUAUAGAAUGAAAACGGGCCAUUGUAAACGCUCUUCUCAAAUUGGGCUCCGUCAGGUCUAUCAAGUAGUUGGCAAGUGAUCUUACCACUUUCACUUUAGGGAGCCACAUGGAGAGGCGAGCUGAGGUGGACUGUGCCCGGUCCAUGGCCUCAUCUCUUAUAAGAAUCCAGGCCCGGAUUUUAUGUUGGUCCCAAGAUGACAACGUGUCGAAUUCUGGGAGGGAGUAGCGUACAGUAAUAGACUCCAUGGCCUUGGACCAUUUGUUGGAGUGAGAACAAGUUAAAAAGGCUUGCCUGGCUAGUAGGGAACCUGGGGCAUUGGUUAAUUUGCAAUAAAAACUAAUAAUUCUAAUGUGGGCUCUCGCAACAAUGGAGGGAAGGCCCAGUUCUGUUCUUAACUGAGCAGCAACCGAGCCCUUGGGGAGACCCAGUAUCUUUCGUGCAAAAGAGUUUUGUAGAAUCUCCAGCCGUUGUAGUGUUUUUAAAUUCCACCCCCAGAUUUCAACCCCAUACAGUAACAUCGGGAGGACUUUGCUAAUAAAUGCUUUUCUGAUUGGUGGAACCAACUGGCCGCCUUUUGCAUAGAAGAAUUUCUCCAAGGCUUUGAUGGUUCUGCGGGCAGCCAGGAUGGUCAUAUUUAGGUGAGCUGACCAGCUAAGCCCAUGCUGAAAAGUGAUUCCCAAAUACUUGAAAGCUGAGCAAUAUUCAAUAGAGUGGCCCUCAAAGUUCCAGAAUGACUUCCGAGUUUUCGUGCCAAAAGUAAGAAUUUUGGUUUUGGCGAAAUUGAUUUUGAGGGAAUUGGUAUCACAAUAUGUCAUGAGCCCUCUGAGCAUGUUGUUUAAGCCCUGCUUGGUUAAAGACAGUAUCACCAUGUCGUCCGCAUAGAGUAAUAUGGGGAUCUUAAGCUGUUGUAGAGAGGGGGCAGAUUGAUUUAGGGCCUGCAUAGUUGUAACGAUGUCGUUGAUAUAGAAAUUGAAUAGAAAAGGGGCCAAGAGGCAGCCCUGUUUGACCCCUUUAUUCAGAGGGAAAGAAUCAGAAAGAGCUCCCAGGGGCCGAAUUUUACUCUGGCCGAUAUGUCAUUAUGAAUUUCCAUAAGAAGAAGGAGGAGUCUCUUAUCUAUGUUGGUGUAACUAAGCUUCUGCCAUAGCCUAUCUCUGGGAAUGGAGUCAAAAGCGGAGGUCAGGUCCACAAAAGCCGCGUGUAGUUUGCAGUUAAACCUGUUUAGGUAUUUAUCAAUCAGGGUAAAUAGAACAAGACAUUGGCCAGAUGUACUGUGACCUUUACGGAAGCCAGCCUGUUCCGAGUGGAAUAGCUUUGUUUCUUCUGCCCACUCGAUUAAUUUCUCUAGCAAGAAUCUAGAGUAAACCUUGUAUGAUAUGUCUAGCAGGCUGAUGGGUCGAUAGUUACGCGGAUCUUGUGGGUCCCCCUUUUAUGUAUUGGGAUGACUAUGCUCUGUUUCCAAUUUGGCGGGAUCUUAAGAGUGGCAUUAAUAGUGGUAAAGAGAGAUGCAAAAAUAGGGCCCACCACAUCUGGUUCAAUAAGAAUACCUCGGGUGGAAUCAUAUCCUCCCCGGGAUUUAUCCCCUGAUAACAUGCUAAUUAGUUGAACACAUCUCUGGGGAGACUGGCUCCCAGGUGGGCAAGGCAGAUGCAGGAAGAGCGGAAACUGCGAGCACGUCGGAAUCUGGGUCGGAAUACAGCUGAGCAAAGUGAGAGUGCCAACUGGCUGCUGUGAUGUUAUUAACGAUGAAUGAGGGGGGUCUUAAACCUGCAUUAAUUAAAUUCCAGAAUUUCUUGUCGUCACGGGUUUUAAUGGCCUCUGACAAUGCCGUCCAGCGUUCUUUCGCAAAGAUCAAUUUCUUAUGUUGGAGCAACUUCUUGUAGUAAGAACGGAAUUGGGCUAACUCCCUGAUUUUGCUCUGGGUGCUGUCUGAUUUCAUAUCAGACUGAAGAAAUCUAAGCCUACUUCUGCACUGUUUACAUUCUUGGUCGAACCAAGUUUGAUUCUUCCAGGUUAGACUCGCACGGGAGGGUUUCGUAAGUGUUGGGAGCAAGUAGGCUAGAAUUUGUUGGAAACUUGAGAAAUGAUAGGAAGAGAGGUGUUUUGUUUCUUGCCAAAUCUCAGAAGACUCCUGGUGAUGUAUUUAGUAGCUACUAUUUUAUAAUAAGUAGGGACUGAUGGCAGAAUUUCCCUUUUAGAUUUGAAGUACCAGUACAGUGGUACCUCUAGUUACGAACUUAAUUCAUUCCAGAGAUCCGUUCUUAACCUGAAACUAUUCUUAACUAGAGGCGUGCUUUUGCUAAUGGGGCCUUUUGCUGCUGCUGCACCGCCGGCACACAACUUCUGUUCUCAUCCUGGGGCAAAGUUCUCAACUCGAGGUAACUCUUCCAGGUUGGUGGAAUUUGUAACCUGAAGCAUUUGUAACCUGAGGCGUUUGUAACUCGAGGUACCACUGUACUAAAAAAGAAGUGUAGAUUUGGUCCAUAAGCAGGAACUUUUUAAAGCAGGAACUUGCCAGAACUCAGUUCCAGCACCUCUCAUUGCCAUUAUAAGAGAACAAGGGAGGUGUUUAUGGUAAGUUCAGGCACCUCUUUUUCUAGAAAAAUAGCACUGGAUAGGUAGGAGUUACUAUAUUAGCACAAUUUUGAUUUUGUGUCAUAUAUCCACUAAGACACACAGAACUUGCUUGUCAGUUAAAUUAAAGGUGUUGUUCAGUGAACAGAAUUCUAUUAUUUGCUCUGGAAGCUGUAGAUUGGCUGUAAAAGUUGAGAACAUAUGGGAGCUGGAAUAGCUCAGUUGGUAAGAGCAUGAGACUCUUAAUCUCAAGGUUGUGGGUUUGAGCCCACAUUGGGCAAAAUAUUUCUGCAUUUGUAGGUAUCUACAAUUCUGUGAUUCUGUGAUUAUGUUCUAAGAGACAGGAAGCACAAGUUUCAUUCUCUUACUUUCUGAUCCAUGUUUUUCUUUUCCAAUGUCUAAAUCUGUAGUCAGAUUAUCAAGAUCUCAAACUAGAGAGAGAGGGAGAGAGAAAUUCUCCAUCGCAGAUGUUUUGAUUUUCACAUCAGGUGUUUCAAAGAAUGAGGAAUAUGAAACAUGAGUCACUUGUAUUUCCUGUCACCACCUCUGCAUGUCAUGCAUCUGAAGCUAUUCAAGGUCACACAAAAAAACCUCUUCUUAGUUAUGGACUCAGCAGUAAGUCUUGGAUAAAUUGUUAUUUCUCAAUUUCAGAUCUGCAUCUGUAAAAUGGGAAUAAUAGUGGCCUCUUUCUCAGGAGUAAUCAAGAGAAAGAUAAUAAAACUGUUUCCACACAGCAAAAGAUCUCUGUUAUUAAUUAGAAAUUUGUUAUAAUAAAGUCAGUGAGACAUAACCAUUUAAAUCCAUGUAGUUCACUUUAAUUAGUUAUUUGUGUUGAUACACCAGAC